rnacentral:lncRNA from 1 species
UUUCUCGUGCAUCACGUAUACUCUGGGGGUUAAUUUCACUCUUUUGACUCUUUUUCUACUCAAAUUUUCUGAGCAUUUUAUAUGUGUUAGAGUCUUAAGUCUCGGCAAGUGCACUUUUCUCUUUUGUUUUUCUUUUCUCUUUUUUUUUCUUUUAAAGAAAAUACAUACUAUUUUUCUUUUUGUAUGAUCUCUUAUUAUGCACUUGCUUCUCUUUCAAGAUUUCCACCCCAAACUUAGUUUUAUUGCACAUCUUGCAAUUCACACAAUCAUACCGAGUUAAGGAAAAA